rnacentral:rRNA from 1 species
CGAACGCUGGCGGCGUGUCUAAUACAUGCAAGUCGUACGAGAAAGCUGGGUUUUAGUUUACUAAUUUCCGGCGAGUAAAGUGGCGAACGGGUGAGUAACACGUGGGUAAUCUACCCUUGAGUUUGGGAUAAGCCCGGGAAACUGGGUCUAAUACCGGAUAAUACCCUCGGAUGGCAUCAUCUGAGGAUCAAAGGCGGGGCAACCUGUCGCUUGGGGAUGAGCCCGCGUUCCAUUAGCUUGAUGGUGAGGUAACGGCCCACCAUGGCUACGAUGGAUAGCCGGCCUGAGAGGGUGGACGGCCACACUGGGACUGAGAUACGGCCCAGACUCCUACGGGAGGCAGCAGUAGGGAAUAUUGCGCAAUGGACGAAAGUCUGACGCAGCGACGCCGCGUGGGUGAUGAAGCUUUUUGGAGUGUAAAACCCUGUCAGUGGGGAAGAACCGCAUACGGAGUAACUGCCGUAUGCCUGACGGUACCCGCAGAGGAAGCUCCGGCUAACUCC